CUUCUUGGACAAAGCAGAGGUCGUCACUGGUCCAUACUUGGAGAAAGGGAAUCUCUGGACUUUCUUUAUGCUGUGCAGUGAGAUGGUCAGUGAUGUAGUGUUCCUGGCAUGGAAGUUUCCUGCACAAAAGAAAGUGGUCCAGAAAAUAUAUGAAAAUGAGGAUGUUCAUGAUUCAAUAUCCCAAACUAAAGCCUUUAAGAAGACCUUACAAACAUUUCUGGAGACUUUGAGAGACCGGUUUUGAGAAGAUAUUUGGCAAAGCAACCUAUGACCUUGGGCUUGGUUUAAAGGGAGCCUGUUCAAAUUUGUUGACUCAUGUCUAAAAUAAAAAUAAAAAAUA